AGCCUGAUGCAGCAACGCCGCGUGCGGGAUGGAGGCCUUCGGGUUGUAAACCGCUUUCACCAGGGACGAAUGUGACGGUACCUGGAGAAGAAGCACCGGCUAACUACGUGCCAGCAGCCGCGGUAA
rnacentral:rRNA from 2 species